GGAAAAGAAACUAACAAGGAUUCCCCCAGUAACGGCGAGCGAAGUGGGAAAAGCUCGAGCCUGAAAUCUCUGGCAGCUGAUGCCAGCGAAUUGUGGCCGGGAGAGGCAGCUGGGCCCUGACUAGCGCUGUCGAAGUUGACCUGGAAAGGCACGUCAGAGAGGGUGACAGCCCCGUGUGCGACACCGCCGGGCAGGGCCACCACUGUCUUCAGAGAGUCGGGUUGUUUGGGAAUGCAGCCCAAAGUGGGUGGUAAACUCCAUCUAAAGCUAAAUAUGGGCACGAGACCGAUAGCGAACAAGUACCGUGAGGGAAAGGUGAAAAGUACUUUGAAAAGAGAGUCAAAAAGACCGCGAAACCGUUAGGAGGGAAGCGAAUGCAGCCAAAGUGGUUCUCAUUCAGGCUCAGGAGUUGUUGGCAUGCAGUGCUGGGAUGUCAGACGCCGAAGGGUGCUGCAACUCGGAUACAGCUGUCGACUGCUUUGCAUUCCUGGUGAGAACCGGCCAACGGCAGUUACUCCUGGCUCAUGAGGGUUGGUGGGAAGGUAGCUUCUUGGUUUACCGAGAAGAACUUAUAGCCACCAGCCUGGUAGUCUGGGAGUGACUGAGGAGUGCUGUGACUUUUCACACCCGCAGUACAGGCUCCCUAGGGGCCGGGUCCCUUCUGUCUGUGUGGGCAACGCCACAGGGACUGCGUGCAGUGUCUGCGGACGGAUGUGUGCUCAGGUGGGAGGUCGGCCACGUCUUGUGCUGUAGUCGUUGGUACCUGGAUGGCUUCAUUCGACCCGUCUUGAAACACGGACCAAGGAGUGCAACAUGCAUGCGAGUCUUGGGGUGGAAAACCCAUCGGCGCAAUGAAAGUGAAGGUAGAUGUUGGUCUACUGAGGCAAGAGCCUUUCAGGAGGCACAUUGUCGACCGAUCCCAGGCUACGCUGUAGUGGGAUUUGAGUGAGAGCGUGCCUGUUGCGACCCGAAAGAUGGUGAACUAUGCCUGAAUAGGGCGAAGCCAGAGGAAACUCUGGUGGAAGCUCGUAGCGAUUCUGACGUGCAAAUCGAUCGUCAAAUUUGGGUAUAGGGGCGAAAGACU
rnacentral:rRNA from 1 species